GAUGAAGAACGUACCGAAAUGCGAUAAGUAAUGUGAAUUGCAGAAUUCAGUGAAUCAUCGAAUCUUUGAACGCACAUUGCGCCCGCCAGUAUUCUGGCGGGCAUGCCUGUUCGAGCGUCAUUUCAACCAUCAAGCCCCAGGCUUGUGUUGGGGACCUGCGGCUGCCGCAGGCCCUGAAAACCAGUGGCGGGCUCGCUGUCACACCGGGCGUAGUAGAUUUUAUCUCGCUCAGGGCGUGCUGCGGGUUCCGGCCGUUAAAAAGCCUUUUUUACCCAAGGUUGACCUCGGAUCAGGUAGGAAGACCCGCUGAACUUAAGCAUAUCAAUAAGCGGAGGA
rnacentral:misc_RNA from 1 species